rnacentral:lncRNA from 1 species
GCCCCUUAAGGAAAUGGAAAUCAACCAACCAAUGGGACAGACAGACAGACAGACAGACAGAGAUUCACUUGCCCAAGUGUUCUGUCCUGUCCUCUGAAUCCGCUUUCAAGUCGCAAGACGCUGUGAGCUCCAAGUCCACGCAGAGUCCGCCAAACGCUCCGGCCGCUGAUCCGCUCCGCGAAGAUCUGAGUACAGGCCAGCCAGGGUGGGUUUAAAUAGCCUCGGGCGCAGCCUAGCAGCGGAAAGGGCGGAGCUUCACUCCUCCUUUCCAUCAGUCACCCCCAACUUUCCCAGGCUACACCUCGUAGGAAACUGUUCUCCUGCUUUGAUUUCAUGCGCCACCUUUGGGACAAUCUAAGAACUUACAGGUUUUCUUGGCCAGAUUUAUUAGGAAUUGUAUGCACUGAAACACUGAAAACCAACUAGUGGUUCUGUGCUUCCCACGUUGUGGUUUUGACACCAGCAGCAUCCUUGCCACAAUCAAACCCCGGAGAUCCGCAGAUCUGUGUUGUAACAAGACCUCCCCCUGACCCUGAAGCAUGGCAGUUGAAGAAGUCUUUCCGUGUAAGCGAAAAGACUUUGAAGAAAAGGUGGAGAUAUGCGUUGUAUAAACAUUCUUUGGCUCUGGAACCACGUAGAGACUUGGGAGCCAGUUGGGUGGAGCAUUCGUUGGAUGAGGGUGCUCGGGUUAGGAAUAUCAAGGUGUUUCUCCAGAUAAUCCAAUCAUCUAAUUAAGAUUCCAGUUAUGCUCAUCUGUUUUAAAAUUCCGUUUGGGUAAAUUCUUUUAGUCAGACUGAGAAUGGCAAAGCCUCAACCCCAAUUUCCAGGGAGGGUGGAGAGCCUCAGGUGGAGUUGAUCACCAAUAGCCUAUGGUUUAACCCAUCAUGCCUAUAGAAUGAGGUCUCCAUCAAAACCCAAAAGGACUGGGUUCAGAGAGCUUCUGGAUAACACUUCCUGGAAGGUAGUGCACCCCUCCCCGCAUGCCGGGCCCCACAUUUAUUUCUGAACUUUGUGCAAUGUCCGCUAAAAUACAACGGCAAAUGUAAGUGUUUCCCUGCGUGCUGUGAGCUCUUCCAGCAAAUGAAUGCAACUAAAUCUGGGAGUGGUGGCAACCUGAUUUAUAGCCAGUUGCUGAGAAGCACAGGUAAAACAACGUAGGGCUUCCCAUUGUUAUUGGUGUGGGAGGCCUGUCUGGCGGGACUCGGCCCUUUGGAAUCUAAUGCUAUGUCCCGGUAGAUAGCGUCACCAUUGAAUUAGAAGACACACAUAUGUGGAGAAUAAUCUUUCUGGUCAUUUACUGCAUGUCAUAUUUACAAUAUGUAAUCAAAUUCUUUAUCCUGACCUUAUGGCAC